ensembl:lncRNA
AUGAACGAAGAGUUCCAAGUCAAAGACAAUAGGGAGUGGUGGGGACUGGGGUCAUCUGAAGAUUUCAUGCCCCACCUGGAGGGAACGCUUUUACUCAGCUCCAGGCAAUUGUUGCCAUACAUGAACAAGGGCCUGCUGCUGCCAGGUUUUUCUUUUUUCUUUCUUUCUUUCUUUUUUUUUUUUUUCAAGAAAAUCUGGAAGUCUAGACUUUUGACAGCAUUUCCUGGCAAUGUGUGGGGUUUUUUUCUUUUCAACAUUGUGCAGGUUAAUGAGUUGCUAGGAGUUUCUGCCCUGUUCUCAGCCUUCUUUUGGGAGACCACAUGCUGGGCAGUUCUGUUCUCCUCUGGCUUUGCAGCUCCCAGCUGGACCCUGGGCCAUGUCAGAGGGGGAGGCCACUUGGAGUGUAGCAGGGUGUGGGCUAACCAUCUCCCUUUGGAUUCUAGGUUCCUGGGCCUCCAGGGCCAGAGGGGCCCCCCGGACCUCCGGGGCUCCAAGGUGUUCCUGGACCAAAGGGUACUCCCGGACCAAUCGGAGUCCCAGGCCCAGCGGGACCAAAGGGUGAAAGGGUGAGUGCUCAGUGGCCGGAGAGCCCACACACCAGGAGGGGUCCAGCGCCUCGGCCCAGCCACAGAUCCUUGGCCCCAAACUCUCCUUAGA